GAUGAUAGACAUAUCAAGUACAGGUCGUUGUGUGCCAUAUAGGUUGGUUGUCCUCUUAUCCAAAAAGCAUGGAGACACUGGUAUGGCAUGCAGGUGAAAUGUAGGAGUAUAUUUUACUGAACAUGACCAACUUCGGAGCACUCUGCUGUCAACGGUCACUCUGAAGGAAUAUAGGUAUAAGUGUCACCCCGAUCUGAGAUCACUAUGGUGACUUACAAGCAACUCACUGUACUUUGAUGUCAAACUAUCUGAAUUUUUAAUUCAGGAUCGGAAAGUUUUUGAGCACAGUCAAGUACUUAUGAAGUCGGUGCAUGAGUCAAGAUGAAAUUGACCACUCCAAG
rnacentral:lncRNA from 1 species